rnacentral:rRNA from 1 species
GGGCCCGCACAAGCAGCGGAGCGUGUGGUUUAAUUCGAUGCAACGCGCAGAACCUUACCUCGGCUUGACAUGCACGUGGUACUGAUCCGAAAGGAAAGGGACCCGCGAGGGAGCGUGCACAGAUGCUGCAUGGCUGUCGUCAGCUCGUGCCGUGAGGUGUUGGGUUAAGUCCCGCAACGAGCGCAACCCUUGUCCUUAGUUGCCUUCUCUAAGGAGACCGCCGGUCUAAACCGGAGGAAGGUGGGGAUGACGUCAAGUCAGCACGGCUCUUACGUCGAGGGCUACACACACGCUACAAUGGCCGGUACAACGGGCUGCUAAGGGGUGACCUGGAGCUAAUCCCACCAAAGCCGGUCUCAGUUCGGAUUGCAGGCUGCAACUCGCCUGCAUGAAGUCGGAGUUGCUAGUAACUGCCAGUCAGCACAUGGCAGUGAAUACGUUCCCGGGCCUU